CCAAAGCAAGAACAAAGGAAGAAAAGAAAGAACAAGAACCCUAGGGUGAAAAUUCAAGAGAAAAUUGGUGGAUUUCAAGUAAUCAAGCAAUCAAAGGUAAAAUUUCUUGAUUUUGACUUGUGAUCUACCUUUCCCAUACAUUCUUUUGCAUUUUCCAUGGUUGAAUCACAUGAUUUCAUGAUGGGUAUCUUGCUGGCUGAACACUUAGAGAGAGGUUUUGAUGCUUGAUUUGGUUAGAUUUCAAUGUAUUUUAGUGUUUUUAGUUGAUUGGUGAUGUGUAGCAUGAAAAUCAAGCAAGAAAAAUUCAUGUUCUUCCAUCACCCAUCAUUGGCUGAAUUCUCCAUGUGGAAUAUUGAGGAUGAUUUUGAUUUUAUUUCAAGUGAUUUGGUUAGGAAUUAGUGAUUUAUGGUGUGAGAAUCAAGUAGGAAAAAUCAUAGUGUUGAUGCACCCACCAUGGCUGAAUUUUCCAAGAGAAAAUGUGAGGAUGAUUUUGCCAUAUUUCAAGUUAUUUAAUUUGUGUUUGAUGAUUUGGAGUAUUGGGAGAAAAAUGGAAUUAUUUGGAGUUAAAUUGGACAUAUUGGCCAAUUAAUCGGGUGAUAGAUCGAAUUAGGCCAAUAUCGUUUUAUUUAGGUACAUAAUUGAAUUUAUAUUGAACACCGUAUUUAGAUAGUUACCCAAGUAUUUCACAUCCCAUUUCAUGCAUUAGUAUAGAGCCUGAAUUGGUUUUAUAACAAUUUAGCACAAAUGUAGUAAAUGGCUUAUUGCGCAUUAUGUCUACGUGGUGAGCAUUAUGGCAAAAGUAAAGAGAUAGUACCCGAGGAUCAAGAAUCGGAGUACUCGAAAUUCGACUCACGAAAUAGUGAGUAACCUUACUAUCGUCUUAAUUAUCUAAAGUAGUUUUUAUUCAUUGUGAUUUUAUAGAAAAAUAUGUUUAAAUGGUAAAUCUUUAGGUUUUAUAAACAAAAUGUGUUUAAAUGAAAUGAUUUUAUAAAUUGUCUUGAAAUUUAAUGAUGGUUUUGAAAAUGGAGUAAUUGGAGACUAAUUGCUGUGUUAUAAAUCAUGGUUUGAAUGGAAUGGCUUAUGAUAAUAUUGGCAUGAAUGGUUGAAUUGGUAUUUGUGUUGAAAAUGCAUAAACUGUUGUUUGCCUUGAUAGGCUAGAUAAUAAUAAAAUUGCCAUGUCAUGCUAUUGAAUUUUACUGAAUUGGUGGGUUAUUGAUUAGUCGCUGCAGUGGACGGGUUUCGUAGACCAGCCUAUUAGAGGGGGCACGGUAACCCUAUUAUAUUCAUACCUCAGUAUAAGAGGCGCGGUUGGAUAACUCUUGAGGUUAACACUUUAGAGUUCACUUCACGCCAAACCACCACGUGAGGGUGAACUCAGCUAAUGCCAAGGAAUGACUAUGUUUUCAAAAUAAAAACAUGACUUAUGCGUACAUAACUUUUUAUCAGCCUUGGCGGACUCAGUUGGGAUAGCCCUCGACCAAGGUAUCCCUGAUAACUGAGUAUAAGAAUGAUUUUGGCAUGAGCCAAAGCUUUUAAUAAAUUCAUAAGCCAUGUUGAUUAUUCGAUUUAUAUGAAUUGAUUUUAUUUGGUUGAAACGAGUUGAAAGGUGAUGAAUUACAGUAUGUUAAACUAUUUUAUCUGUCUCCAUUGACUCAACUUUAGAUAUUUUAGAUGAUAUUUGUUUACUUACUGAGAUUAUAUAAUCUCACCACCCUCCUUUCCACCCAUUUCAGGCUCAUGAUAGUAGGUAAAUAGCUCACUUUGUUGAGGGCUACAGUUGGACUUGCAUCCCUAAAAACUGUAAGUUAACCGCUUUUGAUACUUUUGGUCGUUCGUGGGCCCACGUGUCACUGUAAAUUAAAUUUUAUACUUUGGUUAUCUGUAUUACAGUAUUUAUAAAUUUAUUUAGCUCUUACGCUACAAAAAUUAUAUACCGGUAACUCAUAUAUAUUGUUUUAUAAGAAAAUAGAAUAUUUUAUUGAAUAUUUUUAUUAUAUUUAAAUAGUUAAAAUUUUACUUUAAAUGAAUGUUUUAGAUAUCUAAACUUAUUUUUGAUUAUGAAAUAUGUGUUUUCCACUUACAUACUACAUUUUUAGCUAGUUUCGAGACUUUUGAGGAAAAAUGACCAAAAUGCCCCUGUGAGAAAAAAAUUAUUUUUCUAUUGUUUUGAUUUGGAAAUAGUUUAUAAUCUCUCAAAACAUGAAACUUAACAACUGUUGCUAACUACGGAGGUGUGAAAACUGAUAUUAAAGCCUUGCGGGGUUCCGGUUGACAUUUCAGGUAAUGAGUGCCGGUCGGGACACCGCGGCGGUUGUCACGGGCUCGAGGGGAGUAUUGGGUCAUGAGAAAUAACCUUAUUCAAGUCAAUCAUUUGAAAUAUUGAAUUAAAACAAUUUUACAUAAAGAAAAUUCCAUCGUCUAGAUCAAUUGACAUUUUACUCAAAUCAAAUCAAUAUAUUCGGUAAGCUCCCAUGAAAUCGAAUGUUAAUCAAACUCAUACAUAAAUCACAGAUCACCUCGCAUUAGAGGAGUUAAAAUUCAUUUCACCAUACAAAUAGAAGAGCGACAGAAAAAUUGUUAAAUUCCAUUUUCACCAUGCAAAGAAAUAUGAGUUUGAAAACCCAGAGAUGCUACUCUCGAGUAAGGAAUGAAAAUAAAACCCGUGGUCCCGUUACCACGUAAUACAUCUGAGAGCCUCGCUCCACCAGAUCCCACAUGCCAUGGUAGUCUCACGAUGUUGGCCGACAUCGGAGAAUCAAGCGAUAGCAACCGCGUAAUCAUUUGGUGGCCUAGCCACGCAUACAUAUAUCACAGGCCGUGGUCCCCACCACGCCUAACUGCCCGUUGACGACCCAACGGUUCUCUAGCUAUAGCUCACUCGUGUACGAGGGUCACAAUUAAUCGAUGUGACAUCCGACCUACUCUCGACGCCUUCAGUUUGUAAAACCAUUUUUGAAAUCGUUUUAUGUCCUUAAAAGCUCGUCUCAAAAUUAUUUCCAAAGCAUUCAACACAGGGUAUAAUAAAAUCUAUCAUUUUCUCAAAUAUAUUUAUACAUGGAUUUCAAAACAAUAAUUUGCAUGGUGAAUAAGCAAUAUAACUGUGAAUGCACACUGCACAAAUAUAAGGCACAAAUUUUGAUGUAAAACAGUGCGAAGGGCUUGUUUCCCGAUUUUCAAAACACUUUACCUAUAAUUUAUACAUAUAUAUUCAAAAUAAUUUUUGAAAAUAAUUUGCAGUCAUAAUUCCCUAAAAUUUCUACCAACACAUGCUAUCCACAAUUUUGCAUCUAAAUAAAAUAUACAUAUAUUUAUAUUAUUAUGAAAAUUUUAAAAUUGAGACCUCCUAUUCACCUCACAACAAUGGGAUGUUACUUCGUUAUUUCUACUUGUCGGUCACUCAUUAUUUCCUCCGACCUGCCUUCACAGUGCACUAUCUUUAUUUAUUUCUUUUGAAUCUUGCAACCCACUUGAUAUAUAUAUAUAUAAUUUUUUUAUUUAUUAUAUAUAUGUAUNNNNNNNNNNNNNNNNNNNNNAUAUAUAUAUAUAUAUAUAUAUAUAUUUUAUUUAUUAUAUAUAUGUAUAUAUAUAUAUAUAUAUAUAUAUAUAUUUCUAUCGCCACUUAGGCUCCCAUUUCUUUUCCUUCACCAAAUUGCUUUCUCACCAUAGUUGCAGCUCCCAUCCUUCCUCCUUCACUCUCAAAACCAGCAGCACAACCUUUUCUUUUGCCCUCACAUACCUAGCAACAAAACCCCUCAUUUCUGUCUCUAAAACCAGCAGCAACAACUCCUCUUUUCUCCCUCACAAACUUGAUAGCAAAAUCCCUCCUUUCUCUCUCUCAAACUAGCAGCAACAACUCCUCUUUUCUCCCUCACAAACUCAGCAGCACCAGCUUUUGCUUUCUCUCCCUUUUUCGUGCUCUCAGUUGCAAUAUUUCAAAGCUUUCUUUUCUUUUCCUUUUUUUUUCUUCUUCUUCUCGAGAUUUCUAACUCUUCAGAAUCUCUCUCUUCCUUUUUCUUCCCUCACAUGGUUGGCCCCCACCUUCAUUUUCCUUUCUUUACUUUCUCUAUUCUUUAUUAUUGUAUCCUAUCCUUCUCUCCCAUGAACUCAUGCCUUUCUUUGACUUUUCCUUGCCUUUCCCUCUUUCAUCUCUUGUAUAUCACUUGGCCGGCCCCUACCUCCUUCAUUUCAUUAAAAAUGAAUUUAGAUCCCUUUUUUUUUUAAUUCACACAUGGGUGGCUGCCCAUCACCUUUUACCAUUUUUUUUAUAUUGAUGUGCUGCCAUUCUUUUUGAGAGAAACCAACUUGCCUUGUCCCCAUCACUCUUUUUUUAUUUUCUUUUCAUUGCUUUACUCCAUUUCACUCCCAACUCUUUUUAUUUCUUUAUUAUUUUAUCAUUUAUUUUAUUUCUUUAAAAUAAUAAAAUUUACAUAUCAACUAUCAACUUCAUUUAUUUAUUACACCACCCUCCAACUUCCGUAUUUUAAAAUUAAAUCUUUUCGAUACGUUUAAAAAUUCUAAUUUUUAUCUAUCUCUUUCCUCUACACGCGUACAAUCAACAUAUCAAAAUUGUACUUCAACGCGGUGUCACCAUAAUAUUUUAAAUAUUUACUUACCCGCGUUAACUCGAUUUAAUAAAAUCACGUGGGCACAAUUAUGGCUUUUUUUUUUGAAAUUCUUUCUUAUUUCUUCUCCCCCACUUAGAUUAGUCAUAUAAUCCUUUUUCAUAACUAAUCGCAUUAAUAGAUAAAAUAUUAAUAUUUUAAUAUUAUUUUAUUUAUAAAAUAAUAUUUAUAUCUUAAAAUAUUUUUCUCACCUGUAAUUGCUUUUCGACGCUUAAUUUACAUCAAAUAACUCUUCGUUUUAUCGAUAAGGUUUUAUUAAUAGCUAAACGAGGUCAUGGGGUGUUACAUUUUUCGUUUGUCUUUGUUCAAUAAGGCAGAAAGGAACAAUUAUGUAAAGCAAACACAUAGAAACAAAGAAAAAAUGAAGCCAAUAACAUUGAAGUGACAAAAAGGCAUAUAACAAGAACUAAAUAUUCAAUAAAGUUGUAUAUAUUAAUAAAUCAGAAAAGGAUCAUAAAUACAUGAAACACAAUGGUUACAAAAAUAAAAAAUUGCACUAUUGAUUAACCCAAAAAAAGAUAAGCAUCAAACAAAUUAUAGGAAAUUGAUUACCUAUUUACAACCAUAUUUUUAAAGAAAAGAAUGAUAAAAUUGUUUUGGUGCGAUUACAGUAGAUCAAUGCAUAAAGACUUAUAAUGGUAGAAUAUAAAUGAAAAAAUAAAAAUAUACAUGAUAAUAAAUAAUUGAAAAUAAUAGGUAUUAUUUUCAUUGUAAAUAAAGUAAUGACAAUCCAUCAAAAGCACCGACAUUAACUGAACUAUUUAUUCAUGAAUCCAAUCAGAGAUCUGCAAAAGAACUAAGAAUGACAUGCUGGAAAAAAGGUAGGGGAAGGAGCUGAACAUUGUUUAUAGUUAAUGUUGUCAUCUACUGAAUGAUACAUGAAAAGAUAGAGAAAAUAUUUUCUUGAAAACAGAUGAAAGUGGAUAAGAAAAUGACAUCUCUACAAUUUGGAAUGAAUAACCAACAAAGGUGAUUCAUUUGAAGACAAAAACUAAAACUCCCUGGGAUGUAGGUUCCAUAGUCCAAGAGCCAUAUUUCCCUCAAUCAGAAUUUAGCAAUACCAUUAACAAUAGGCAAACCAUAAACAUAAAUGAACGAAGAUUGUUAAUCGGCAUGAGCAAAAGUUGUGAGCGGAGCAAUCUAAAAACACCUACCAAAACAAAUGAAUCAGCAAGAUUGAAAAAUUUUAGUCAAAGUAGACGCAGACUGACUUCUGCUUGACCAAGAAAAGAUUGUUUUAAAUCAACAGAAUUCAUAAACCCACAAUAAUUAGCAACAUUUAAGCCUUAACUUUUUAAGCUCCAAAUUUAGAUAAUGACAAAGUCAUAGGUACUUGAAUGCAUGCUAAAUAUUUCAACUUAAAAACACAUGCAACCUUUGGAAACUUAAGAAAAGAAAAAUAUAAGAAGGCAAAGAAACACUGUUGUUGGUGAGAGAAAACCUCUGGUCAACAAUGCCUGCAUGGAAAAAAGGCAAAGCAAAACAAAAUUGACACACGAAAAAAAAAACAUGCAUAAGAAGAAAAGAGUAAAAUAAAUUUAAAGAGGUUGAGAAUGCGAAAAGCAAAACCGGUUGUGGAGAGCAUUGCUGGCCAGAGAAUAUGGAUAAUAGAAACAGAGGGAAGGCGGACGUUCUGAGAAUAGCAAUGGUGGUGAGAAAACGUGGACAACAAUAACAAAAUGAAAACAGAGAAGCCUAUGUAGUUGUUAGAAAUUAAAAGAAGCAAAAUAAAACGAUAAGAGGAAAGAAAAUAUGUUAAAGCCCGAAAUUACCCUGACAUUUAAAAUAAGAAGACCAAAAUGACCCUGACAUGUUAAAGAAAUACAUAUUAUCUGUUGUUCUCAAUAAAUAUUUGGAGAAAAGUUCUCAAAGCCACGAAGACUUUUUGUUCUUUGUGUUUUUUACUUUAAAACUUUUGAUCAUUUCAGGUUUUCCAGGAUCCGUUUAAUAAUCAAAAUGAUAGGACAUGCAAUCUAAUAUACAAAGAUUUGCAAGUCAACUGAUGCCACUAUAUACCAAUCUAUUUAACAUAUAUGACCCAAAGGAUAUGAAACCGAAUUUUUGUAUUUGUUUUCUUUGGAGGCGACUUUGAUUGUAAAGAUGGAUUCAACUGUUACGAAACGGCUAACCAAGUUACGUGUUAACUAAAACUAUUAUUAUAUUCUACAUAAAAACUAAUAAAAUUUUUAAUCAAAUUAAUUACAUAGGUGUUUGAAUUAACUUAUUAAAGAGUUUUUUAUUACAAAAAUAGAAGUAAGGUGUUUGGCUUUUAAAAAGUUUUUAAACUUUUAAUUUAUGUGAGGAACCCGUUUGGGUUUUUAAGCAAAACUAUAAAUAAAUUAUUAUCAUUUUUAGAAUGUGCUAAUGUGUAAUAACAAAUAUCUAAUUACUUACUAAAACUUGAAGACCUUCCACUUCUUUGUCUUGGAAGAAAUUGUGAUUCCUGAUCUAUCUAUAUCAGCUUUGACACCAAGAACCAAAUUACGUCUUUAGCAACUUGGAUAGAAAUUAAACCUUGCUUGCAUUAGGGCUCGCUAUUUUCUUCCAAAUUUAGUGACCUUGCCAGUGCCUUAAAUGCAACAUCAGUCACAACCUUUAUCUUCGAAGCAUAUCCGUCCAUGAUGUCUCUACAAGGGAAUAAAGUUAAGUUUACUAUGUUCGCGGUGGAGAUAACUUGACUGCUCUUAAUUUGCUUGUGGUAGCCAGUGUCCAAUUAAAAUACUUGGGGACAAAAAUUAGGAUAUUAUGAACAUAGUCUUACAAUCACUAGAAUACAUAGCUAGUAAUAAGAUAAAAAGUUCAUCAUGUUCGAUUUUUCUUACCAAGUCUUACCCGCAGGAAAUGCAAAAAGCUUAUGAAUGUUUUGGUAAACAACAGCAACAAUAGGAGGAUGGCUGCCAACAUGAGCUAGCUUACUUAUG
rnacentral:lncRNA from 1 species